UACGUAGGGUGCAAGCGUUGUCCGGAAUUAUUGGGCAUAAAGAGCUCGUAGGCGGUUUGUCGCGUCUGCUGUGAAAACUCAGGGCUUAACCCUGAGCCUGCAGUGAAUACGGGCAAACUAGAGUGUGGUAGGGGAGAUCGGAAUUCCUGGUGUAGCGGUGGAAUGCGCAGAUAUCAGGAGGAACACCGGUGGCGAAGGCGGAUCUCUGGGCCAUAACUGACGCUGAGGAGCGAAAGCAUGGGGAGCGAACAGG
rnacentral:rRNA from 1 species